GCUCCUAAAUUUCAUGUCUAGCAUUGUAAGAAAUCUAAACACAAAUGAACUGAAAAGUUAGUCAAUAAUGGUACAAAGAGACUGCAUCUGCCUAUAUCCUAGAGUUGUCGUUCAAGUGCUACAAGUUUCAAUCCUUGCAUAACUUGACUUGAGCAAACGAUUGAUGUAGACAGUAUAACCAUGGGCAAGCAUAACCUUAACUUAUUUCUUACUGCUUAACUAAAAUUAAUCAUCUUACAUCCCCAGGAGAUUUUAUAUGCUGUGACUACUCCCCUUGUUCACUAGUAAAAAAGUCUGGCAGAAGAAAAGUAAAAGAAAAAAAAAGAAAGAGAAAACUCUAAAAAUAAAGUUACAUAGCCAGACAGAGAAUCGCUUAGCUAGGCAUCUUGCUAUUAAUUAGUAUGCUGUAAAUUUUGCUGCCUUGGCUGAUACCAAGACAUGGUAUUUAGAGGAACCAUUAAUGAAGACAAAAGAAAAACAUCUGGAGUAGCCCAGCUCCAGGAUAGACCUUAGGCUGAACUAACAUUCAUAUUGCAUUUCUCUUUCCCCAUUUGCCUACCGAAUCCAUGAAUUAAUCCAUGCCCCCCCCCAUUUUGGCAGGAUUACAUCACAAGCAUUUGACACAAAUGGCAUCGCUUUCUGAAAAGGCUGUGGAUGCCUGCUGAAGGCAACAUGCCUCCAACUGCAAUUCUGCUCUAUCAAACAGCGUUUCUCGAAAUCUUGAGUUUUAUUUCGUUUCUUCCGAAUGGAGGUCUGACCUCUUCAGCAUCUAUUGCUGACUGAGAGGGGGAGCUAGCAAGCCACUCCUGAUUAUCUGGAAUGGCUUUUGAGACUGAAGUUAGAUGUAACUUUUUUCAUACUUCCUCAACAGAAAGAACAGAGCAGGAGGCAAAGAAGUUCAGGCUGUAAACCAAGACUGUUGUUGCGAAUGGCUUUUCCCCAGAAGACAGACUCUCUCUCUCUCUCUCUCUCUCUCUCUCUCUCUCUCUCUCUCAGAAUCGCAGUUGUUGAUAACUAGCAGGUUUUAUCUCCAGGAACUAAGAUAGUUUUUCUCCUCGCUUCUGGCCUGCCAACUUGUAGACUUGUCUUCAGCUGAGGCAAGGCUGCCAGAUUCAAUACAUGGAGAAUCUACUCGACUCUAUUUAUUUUAGAGUAUGAUAAUUUGAGGGAAAAUUUAAAUUGUCAGUUUUCCAUUACACCCUGCAGCUCAGGGCUGGCUAUCUUCUCAGACCUAAAAACAUACUUCUGUGGGAAAUUAUGUAAACAGAUGGAGAAGCCAAGAAGAGAGAGGGCGGAUGUCUUGCUAGGGGCCACACAUUCUGCUCGGGGAAGAGCUAGGUACCCCGGCAUGACUGAUCUGUCUCCAGGUCUCCCUUCUUUAAUUGCCUAGAGCAUGUGGAUGGUAAGGUCCCAUAGCAAACACUGAGCAGAGUGUUUGAGCAUAUGGUGGUCAAGUAUUACAAUCUUCAGGUAGCCACAUAUUGAUCAGUGGUGAGUAGGUCCAGAGAGGCCUGGGGACUUUGAACAGUCUGAGGGCAAGGAAUCUGUUCCGUUCAUCUUUUCGGAUGUGAUACCAUGUUCUGUAUCUGGUAUAUACUCCGUAACCCAGUCUAUGGUUAAUAAACUCAGAAUACAUCCAGAUCACUGAAAAACAGUGCUAGGUAAUAUCAUUGCUCUCCUCAAAAUGCUGCAACAUCAAAGCCUUGAUAGAAUGGUUCUUGCUGCCUACAUGGUGGCUUUCCCUCUGCUUCCUGUCUACUCUUACCCCCACAUGCCUCCUCUGCCUCCUUCCUGCUACCCUCUUGGAUAACUGACCACACUGGCUUUCUUUAUAUGCCUGUACUCAUAGCUGGCAAAGGGACCCUCCUCUUUCCUCAUUACGAGAUAAUAUUCAGCUGUCACGUUUCAUGAGCCCAUACUCUAUUGACCCCUUUAAAAUUGAAAUCUGCUUUCUGUUCUCUGCCCACCCAUACUCUGAACUCCCCUAGCCUGCGUUAUUUCCUCUGCAGAGCUUAUCCCCUUUCAACUGUAAUUCCGUAUUGAAUUAUUCACUCCAUUGAUGCUCUGCCGUUGCUUUCCCCCUUACCAAUAUGUAAGCCUAUGAGGAGGAGGAUUCUUAUGGUUCUUCUUCAUUGAUCCUUCUAGCAUUUCCUCCAGUAUCAGACACAUCAAAAAUACCCUUUAAAUGACUGUUGAAUGAGUAAGUGAAUUAAGCCGAAUUUGGUGACUCAAACAAGCAGAUGAAUCCAAGGGCAGAGGAGGUGAACCUUCAAAGCUAGGCAUGACGAUGAAGGGGCCACCGGGUGUGAUAAAUUCACAGGCCAACUUUUGAUUACAUAAUAAGAAGCCUUUUGGAAAAUGAUGAAUUUGGCCAAUGUCUAGUGUCGAGACUAUAGACUUCUAGCCUGAGAUUGUCAAGCUGACUUGUUAACUGUGUUGUUCAGCCUCUGGUGAAUUCAGACAAAGACCACGAUGUGUGGGUUGGUGUUUCCCCCCACCAGUGACCUUCCUCCAUUAGCAGUACUUGUUAAGAAAUCUGGUUCCCAAGCUCUAUCUGGCUUCUAAUGGUUACUAAGGAGUAAAUCCCCCAGUGGUUUGAACUCAUGCCAAAAUUCAGGGGUGAGGAGUAUUAUGAAACCUCCUGAAAAGGUGGGGUGUAGCAGAACAGGACUUUCCCUAUGCUGGUGCCAAGAUUUUGCAGGAAGUUCCUAAGAAAGUGCUCUGUUAAUUAACUAAAGAAACACUGAGUAAGAUUGUUUUGGUGACAGUAAUUUCCAGAACCUUUAAAAGGCUGAUGUCAUCCUGAGUUUCCAGGAGUGGGGCACGCGGUAGGCAUCAUCUCAAACACUCUACCAUGGGCAGCUCUUCAGGUUCCUCUUAGCUGUGGCAAAGAAGUUCUUUGCUUUGUUUUAUAUUUAGAGAAAAAACCUGUAAGAGCUAAUCCAUAUUCUAGGUCCCUACAAUUCUGUUUUCUCUCAUUCAUUUCCCCUUAGCUAAUAAUGUAACGAGUCCUCCACAACCCUGAGGAAGAAACAAGGAAUAGGAUUCCUGUGCAUCAUAAUUCCUGGUGUGCAAAACUGAAAAAGAGAAAAGUUUCUUGGUGUGUGUGUGUAGUCCAGAAUAUGUUACAAAGAAGCCAAUAUAUAGUGUACCUAAACAAGGUUGCUUGCUAAAGCAAAAUUUGGUGGGUUUGUGAGAAUUCUGUCUUCUGUAUGAAGCCUUAUGAAUCAGUAGGACGCACACACAUAAAUAUCUCACUGGUGCAAGCGCUCCUGCUCCCUGAUUCUCCCAUAUUGAUCACCACUAAUCUAUCCCUUACGUCGCUUUCCAUUCCUGUGGAAAUAAGAUAGGUAUGUGCCUGGAAUAAAUAGCUUUCUCCGCAUUUGGAAGCCGUGCAGGGUCUAGAGCACAUUACAACCUCCCCUAUAACGGAAGUACUCACGCGCUGGCAACUGCUGUCUACAGACGUAAUGAACCAAGUGGGAGGUAAUGAGAAGUGACUGUCACGCCAUCUCUGGGGCCCAGUUUCUCCUGCUGCACAAUUACACUGUGACCCCAGAGAAACUGAGAAGAGUACAACAUUCUCUCCUUUUCUAAAGAUCUUAAAACCAGCCUCAGCUUGUGGGAUGCGUGCGGAAGGGUGCAAGCGGCAGCAUUAUCCACUUGGUAGUCCAGAGGCUGUCCGGGGAACGUUUGCUUGCAGUGCGAGAGGCAGCUGUCCAUAUACUCCAGCUUUUCUCCCAUUGUGGGCUUGGUCUCUAGCUGGAAUGACGCCAGCUAACGGGACGGUCCUUUCCUACUUUCCCUGGUGCGGAAAGACGUCCAAAGGGAGACGGUCACUUCUUCCACAAGUGGAGAAUGCACGAGGGAAAGUGUUACACAGAGCCACAUUUAUGCUCCAGGGAUAUGUGUUUCAGCUUUAAAAGGCAGGACAAGCUUUUAAAAAUAAGUGUAGCGAGAGCAGUUGCUGGGCCCCACACAGCCCCAGUCCCAUCUCUGUACUUUAUUUCAGGGAGAAUCUUGAUUACCAUGCUGUUGAGUGAUCCUUCAAGGGGCGGGGGAGAGUGGCAAGGCUGAGGAAAAAGGUAGAGGGGCGCCUGCUGAGUCAACUUCUCCUGAGAGACCCCGCGAAGAAAGUGCAAAAAGGUGGAAGGCUUUUAAAAUUCCUCCCAUUGUCUUCCUUCUGCUCAGGCCUGCCCACGCUCUGGGGGAAGCCUGCCAACUGCUCACUGAACGGUGAAUGGAGACAAGCUGGGCUGCUUGUACUGCUCAGCGAGGGAAGAAUAGCGGUGUGGCUGACUGCUGGCUGGACCCGCGGCACUCUCUUCUCUUCUGUGCCUCUGCCAGCAGGAAGCCCCCAGGUGGCAUGGGGGAGAAUUAGUGUGCAAAUUACAGGAUCUGCUAAUUUCUCACCACUUCAUCCGUUGACAGUUCCACAGAGUUCUGCUGCCUUUCACCUCACAUCUGAGAUAAGGGCCCCUCCUCUCAACAGGGGAAGCAGAGUUCCACAGGGUUGUACUGACUGGCUUGUGAAACUUCGUUUUCCCUGACUCCUAUCUCAGUGUACAUGAGUGUAUUUUCCACCUCCUUGAUAGCGGUUCUGUCCGUCCUUGGAUAUUCCUAUCACACCUACCUCAGAUCAUCUUUUACCACAGGCUUGCUAUGUUGUUAGCAGAAAGAGGUAGAAACCGAUCCUUUUCAUAGCAAGUUCCAAAGAUUUGCCAUAAAACAGGAAGACGAAAACAAAAUAGUUAAGUGGAAUCUCUUUCUCCCCUUUGCUUACCGAUCGACUGUACUUCUUGAGAAGUUUCUAUGUGACAAAUAAUAUUCUUGGCAGGUUUCAUUAAAACUUGUCAUUUUUAUUUUCUGGAGAAGGGAACUGAGGCACAGGGUGGCCAGAAAACAGGAAGUAGACCUGAGUCCAUACUUUAUGUACUAGGGCACUGUGCUUUACAUAACUAGCCUUAGUUAUCGUUGGAUUCAUUCAAUAAAUAGCACAGAAACACCACCACCUUAAGGCCACUUUCUUUGCCAGAGUUCCUUACCCCGUGAGUCCUGUGACUUCCUGACUCUUAUACACGUGAUGCAAACGUAAGAGCAUCUUCGUCAGGAAACAAUACACAUGGUUCCCAGGGGACUGAGUUCUCUCCAUAAGGGACCAGAUAGUAACAUAUUUGCAUGUCCCAUGGUCUUUGCCUGAGUGAGGCAGAAAGUAUCCACAAACAGCACGUGAUGGAAUCAUUGUGUCUGUGUGCAAUUGCAGUGAUGGGCAGUGGGUUGUAACUGGUCCAUGGGCUGUCUGCUACAGAGGAAGAAAGAAGUCAAACUGGUGACUGCACAUGGCCUCGGUGGUGCCUUAUGUUCGUGUCUAUGAGGUACGUCAAUGAUAUGCAUUUGGGCACAGAGACCAGUGAAGCACAUAAGGACCGAGUAAAAGAUUUGCAGGGAAAAUGAAGUGAGAGUCUUCACUGAAGAUGGGAAAUGCAGGUUAUCUCUGAUCAGUGAAGAGUAGGGUAUGGCCUGUGGAGUGGGAUGGGGAAGGAGUCUCUGGAAACAGUUUAUUUUUCUCAUCAAAUGGUGAGUCACAUACAUGUCAGGCUUUUGCAUACUAUAAGCAUGAAGCAGAGCCAGCCUUCAGUGGGAGACCAAAUCAACAUGCCAUGGUGAAGGGUGAGCGUAGCGUGGACCCAGCCACUUCGUUCCCUGCCUCCAACAGUCGUAUUAAAGGAUUUAACUGGCCUUUUUUUCACUCUUUAAACAGCUGCCAGGACAAUAGCAGAAAACAAGCAUCAGAAGUUAUUUUCUUCUGAAUGUUUCCUUAUCUUCUUGAUAUUUCAGAAAAUUGUGCUAAGUCAGGUGAGGAUUAUUUGCAAUGACUUUAUUUUUUUCUUAGUAUUUUUCCACGUAUACACCAAGGAGAAAAAAAAUAACAAGGUAUUUUGCAGACAUGUACUAGCCCAGUUCUUUUUCUUUUUUAACAUAUUAACACAGAUACAUUAAAUAAAGUGCAAGUAGGGCUGAUAUUGGUGUACCAAGCUUCUUCUCUCUUUAGAGGUAGAGUUAUGUGUGACACUUUCACUUUCUUCCUAGAUUUUCUACAGAGAAGUAGUGAGGAGAAUAAGACAGAAGAGAGCCAGAGGGCCGUGACGAAGCCCGAACCGACUUUCCUCCGGGUCAGGUCUCUGAUGAUGUCCACUGUUUCCCUCUGUCUGUUCUUCUUUUCUAGAAUCACACCCUGACAUUUCGGCUUCUAUUGUUCCUGUUUCCGUUUGAGUACAAACCCAACUGUGCUUUCCCUUUUCAUCACAAUACAACCUGGAGAAUUGUGCUACAGGUGUAAGGCAUAUUCUAGAAAUUUGAGUCUGUGGUACUAACCAAAUGCCCUCAUUCAUUCAUUCAUUCAUUCAUUCAUUCAUUCGGCUCCCGUGUUGGAUGGGCGGUGUGUGCCGGUGGUUAUUCUGUGCGUUGCAAACUUAUGUGGAAUGAAGAUUUGGUUUAUAUCUCUACUUCCCAUUUUCCCUGGGUUGCUACACGUCUAGGCAUUCUGUAAAAAACCCAAUAUAAAUGCUAUUUUAUCCAUAAAACCUGCAGUUACAUACUCAUAAAAGUGUUCCCAUGGUCCUUUACAUUCCCAUGACAGUACUGCUUCUGUCUCUAUUUGGUUAUUUCCCUGUGUGAUGGUAUAUUAUACGGUCUAGAAUGUGGGUUUGAGGAGGAAGGUGACGGUGCCAUUUUAAUCUCUCCUUGCUCUCAAGCUCCAGGUUGCUCUGUUCAACAGGCUCCUUUCUGGCCACAUCUUAUCCGGGCUGCCCAUCAGUUAUUGCAGACCCCUUGCCAUGCCUUGUCUUGGUACGUCUUGUCGUUUCUAGAUCUUUUCGGCCAUCUCCUUCCACAGAAUUAUUACUGAGCUCCUGCUAGGAGGCUUACAUUCCUUAGCUUGAUCUAGAAAAUGAUUAUAUUUUAUACUGAGCCAGGCCUUAAUUAAUCUAUUUAAUAAAUAAGUGAAAAUCUAGAAGGAACAUGUUCUUACCACCUCUAUAGUAAGUUUGGGAUGAGAACAUAAACGCUGAGAGCCACUUCUGGCAUUCGCUGAACUGUGGAGUGGCACAGAAAUGUAGACCUGGCAACUGGGCUGCCAGCAUGAGGUAAUGCAAACUUCCUCUGGCCACUCAGACCUUCUGCUUCUGCACUCCCGUUGGUACAGCAGCCCCCACCCACACCUCUCCUAAGCUAGGGGAGAAAAGGAAAAACACAACUCCAAACUCAAGUUAGAUCAGGAAGUUGUGUGGCAAUUUCUGGAAUGUCAAGAAUAAAAAUAAGAAAGCAAGAAUUAAUCCUGCUAGCCUCGAAUGAGAAGCUGUCACCACGAAAGCUGUAACUUUCUAAAUGAAUCUAACACCUCUGAAAAGUCCUACAACUGCGCCAAGUAUUUACAUGUUCUCUUAGAAUGUGGCAUCUACAGCGAGUGGUUUUGGUCGUGAAGCACACCAUCUGCGUGAUUACCCAGCCCUUGCGAAGAGUACUCUGAACUCAGCAGUUGUACAACAGACGCAUUUAAAAUAUACAGCAUUCCCACUCCCAUAGUUCAGGACGGGUGUUAGAAAACAACCAGCCUCCUUGAGAACUCAGACUGCAUCUGACAUUCUUCCAGGCACCUUUCUGCCAUCCUGCAUGUAGUUCUGGAAGAUAGCUUUAUCGUAAUAGAUUCACAGACCGCUGCAGAGCAGGUCAGCCUAACCCUGGGCCAACAUCAGCUGCAGUCACAGUCAUUAGUGAAGUCAAUGAAUGUGAGAAGUGAAAUCAGAUCACUCAGCUCUCAUCCAAGAAGAGGUCUGUGUCAUCUGAGGAAAAACACACCCAUAGGAGUCAAAGGGUGAAUACUCCAGAGAAGGGAGUAAAAGGACUUUCACUAAUUCAGCCUUACCCCCCACAUAGGUCUCUUGAAAAAUAACUUUAGGCUGUAGUUGCUGAUAAAGUGCCAGAGUCAAGAUUGAAAUAUUAGGAAGCUACUUUUGCAGUGACGUUGGUGACUCAGACCCACAGCUGUGAAAGAGGAGCAUAGAAGGGCUCUGUGACAAGUCCUGCUCCCCUGCCCUGCUAAAGUCACAGCCUAGACAUCAAGCCUUCAAAAGGAACUCUUUACAAGGUCUAAAGACGAGCAGAGGAUUCUGUAUACACACAUGCUGAUGCAGUAACUAUAAUACAGAUGAGUCGAAACAACAGAAAGACACAUCGGACCAAAGAGAGCAUGGCAGACCUUCCUUCAGAAGAUUCUCUACUUGGUCUUAUUUUUCCAAUAAAGAGCAGUGGUCGGGAUUUUGAUGCUCCAAACUAUGACACCACUGAAUAAAGGUGGAAGGAAGACCUCUUUGCUGGGACAACUCAUCAGCCUAAGAAUUCUGUCACACACUUUACCCUGUUUAAGGCUGGAGUCUGCCAAGUUUCCUCCCAAGUACUCAUCAAAGAAGUCCCUCAAAUAACGCCAAGGUUAUAAUAAUGUGCUGUAGUUAAAGUGACAAUAAAGAAGAAGUAAAAGUGAAAAGCAGUGAAUCACUUGUGACCACCAUCACCCAGAUGAGAAGAGAAUGGAGUUUGAACAUUUGCAGUUGACAGCGCACAUGUUCAGAACACCAAAUGGAACCCGGCUAAAAGAUCUGGACGUGUCUGCUGAUGGCUUCCUGGUCUUGGCUGAGCUUUGAAGACCCCCAAGCAGGUCAGUCAACAGCGCCUGCGCAGGGCCUCAGCUGACGAACCGAAGCAGCUUCUGUGUGGAUUCUCUUAUCCUGGAGUCUUGUUCUGGGGUGUGGGGUCUCAGAUCCAGCUCCCACCAGCAACACAGAGCAAGUGUUUUAGCAGAUGGAUGGAAUUACGUGGUUGGAAAUUGUGUGACUUCUACACUUGGUCCCUUGGCCAGGUAUUAUUCUUCUAGGAAUUCUUAAGAGGAAGCCUUCAGCAGCCUAGGGCAGCCUCAGUAGUACUCAACCUUUGGGUUCUGACCCCUUGGGACUAAAUGAAUUUUUCAUGGUUAUCGCAAAUCAGAUAUAGUGCCUAUGGGAUGUUUACAUUAACAAUUCAUAAGAGUAGCAAAACUACAGUUAAGAAGUAUCAACAAAAUAAUUUUACGGAUGGGAUCACCACAACAUGAACAACUGUCUUAAAAGGUUGUAGCAUUAGGAAGGCUGAGAACCAUCUCUCUAGCUGCUCUAUUCAAUUUGGAGAGUAGCUGGUGGAGACUGUCCUCAGUAGGAUUGAGAUCCUGGGGUGCUAUGUAAAGUACCAAUACCAACAAAAUAAUUAAAGCGUUAAGAGAGUUCCAAGAUUAUACUUCAUUGAAAAAACGAUUGUUUGGGGACCAAUGUAUAAUGGGUAUAUGGAAUAAGAGGGAAUGUUUAAAUUAGAACUUGAUUUUGGAUGGUGACUGCCCAAUAUUUGAAUCAAGGAUAGUGACUGAAACUCCGUUAGGAAAAACAAACACCCGCAAAACCAAGCUAAAACAAAAACAAAAAACAGGAGGGUAUAGCAUUGGGAGCUUUAAUUGUGUUGCAUUUAUGAAAUAUUUUGAAGAAAUGUCUGUAACUAAUAAACUACUUUGAUAUUGGCAUUGUGACAGAAAAUUUCAAAACACCCCCUAAGGUAUAGAUGAGGGUGGCUUUCCAGGAAGGUUUGCGGAGGGGAAAACGCUGCAGUUCUCCACAUUUCCAGCAGGGGUCAGUAUGUUUUCAUCAUUACACACGGGGAGCUCUCAGGAAGCAGCCACAGUGUUGAUCCUAAUUGGAGCAGACGCAAGGAUCUUCUAUAAUCCACUGACAUCCUUUUCAAAUAAUAAUUCUUAGGUGGGUGGUGGGCUGGUGGCUGCAGUGCCAGAGCGAGGCUUCUCCACAAUGAAGCCUAACCAUUGUCAAUUAUUUUUGAUGUAUGCUAGCUUAACUUAAGUCUCCGUCUGACUGGCGUUUCCAACCCACAGAAGGGUAUUCCUCCUCCUAAUUAUGGAGACACAGUGCCAGGAUGGUCAGAACCAGUGUGCUAUUUUGGCUUAAUGUGCUCUCCAAAACGCGUUCCCCCUUCCCAGCCUCCUUGUGCUCUUCCCACUCAGCACAAAGACAAGCAUAUGCUUUCAGUCAAGAAUCUUAGGAAUGGUUUACUUAUAACCUUAAUUGCUGAGGCCAUUGACUUUAACUCAUUACAUGCCAGUCCUGGGAAGCAGUUAGAGACGUCCUGCGUACCUAUGAUUAUAGUUGUGUGAAUAUAUCUCCCAACAGUUUGGUAAUCACAACUAAAUCUCCCUAAGUCUGUCCACUUUCUAAUAAUUUGUUUAGGAGCUCUGCCAGCUGUGCUGUGUAUUAAGGGAACAAAUUGUCACCCUUUGUGUGCAUUUUAAAGACUCUUGGUUGCCUUGAGUCUCAAAUUGUCAAUUGGAAGACAUUCUUUGAGAGGAAAAAAAAAAACCAAACUCCCCUCCCCCACAACCACCACCAGACACACAGCACGUUCAAUUUUUUUCUCUCUCCUUGGCCCUGGAUUCAGCCCUUUCUGGUGAUCAGGGGAGUGAAUGUCUCCAUGUAGAGACAUUUGCAGAAAUCUGAUUCUGGAGAGCCAGGAGUGUAGAGCAAGAAUAUAUUACCAGGACACCGGAGAAGACUGUUAACUGCUUAUGCGCUGCGCCUGCCUGAAGGGCGAGCCACUCACCUGGCAGUGCACCUCUUCUGGCCUCAGGCUCGGUGAAAGCAGGGCUUUUACCCUGAGGCCUUCACACCUCUCUCUAGGUGGGGGCUGGAGAAUGCUGCUUGGAAGAUGAAAUACAAGCUGGAAAGAAAGCUACCGGGAACACAGCAGACCAGUGGCAUUUAGAACUCGCACAAGCUAUGUAAGAGUCAGGAGAAAUUUCCACUUCGAGGAGAGGUUGCUGGGUUCCUAAAAAGAUUGGUUUUUGUUUGUUUUUGUUUUGUUUGUUGUUUUUUUUUUUCACAUACCAAACUGGCACAUGCUUUUUAUACAUGUGGGCGCAUUUUACACAACUAAAGCUAUUGUUCCUCUUACUGUCGAUGAUUACCAAUAUCCUUUAAAGUUCACGUUGCGAUAGUUAAGCAAAGCAGGCUCUUUGAUAAGAUUCUUUGAUGAGACCACUCUACUUCCAGUUUUUCAAAUCCAUGUUUACAAAAACAAAUGAACAAACAGACAAAACAUAAGAGCAAGCCUCAAAGUUAGGUCGAGGUAUAAGAUUUGCAGGGCACAAGUUGCUAAAAAAGGUCAAUGUUAAUUUCAUGGGAGGUCUUACCUGAUAGGCACUCUGAGUCUUAUGGGGAGUCAGGAGAAGCUGAAGAGAAUUUUGGGCUCAUGCUUGGCGGAUGCCAAAAGACAGAUUAAUUUACCGAUUUUUAAAAAGGGGUAUCAUUUCCAUGAGUAUAAAAGUAGUUCACCACAUAAGAAUGCAUCUCUUAAAAAUAAGCAUUUAUUUAUUUGCUUCCUUAGCCUACUAUAACGCCAGAAUCUGCUACCAGAAUGGGACCGAAUUGAUGAAUAAAACAGGAACGGGCUGUAUUCCCAUGAAGGUUACACGCUGCUUGCUAAAAUAUACAUGCUUUGAAAAGUAUGUAUGUUCUAAAAAAAAAAUCCCCAGUAUAUUUUUAUUUCCUUACUUCACACGUUUGCUUCUUCAUAUUUAAAAUGUAGGCUGAGAUACUCCUUGCGUUCUUUAAAGGUGGAGGAAAAAAAGAACUCCAGGGUGAACGACAGAAUUUUGGUGGCUGUGGAAUAGCUUCAAAGUCUUAAUUGGGAGCAGGGUAGAUAUGAACUGGUUUACAAAUAAUUGACAGAUUGAGAUGCUUCUUAGAAAGUUCACUCAUUCAUAAAAUGAAACAAUAUGCCUCUGGAGUAGCUGACUCUAGAGUUCAAGGUUGCCUUUCCCCUCCACAGGAGGCUGCAGUAACUCAACAUGGCAAGGGCUUGUUCUCACAGUAAGGUUUCCGCAGAGCCAAAGGGCCUCUGCCCUUAGAGUCCUGAUCUCACAAUUUAGGAACGGUGAGAGGAAGCAGCUUCCCAAUUAUCUUUUAAGACUCGAGUGGAUUUUAAUUCUAUCCACUGGGUUUCCUGUUAAAUAUGAAAAGCAACGUUAAAAGACAGUGUUCUUUAAAUUUGUUUAUUCAAACACAUCUCCUCAAAGUUCAAAGAAUGGCUGUCUGCCUUUAAUUUAAAAACUAACACAAUUUGUAAAGUUUAAAUUAAACCCAAUGCUUGAAGCCACACUAAUUCUUUGCUUAUUGCCAGGGUGAUCCAGUUUUCAAGGCACCAGGAAGCCAGUAUCUUCUAUCAGUAUAGUUGGGUGUCUAUCCUAGGCUCUGUGGAACGGUUACGGUGUUCCUUUAGAAGCUCAAUUUUGAUUUUUUUUAACUUUCUCUCACUUAGGAAAACAUCAUCAACAAUGACAAUAACAAACCCUGCAGGAUCAAAGCGACAAACGAAGAGACUUGAUAUGCCAUGGUGGGGGAUA
rnacentral:sRNA from 1 species